rnacentral:rRNA from 1 species
ACGCGAUGUGUCAGUACGGCGAGUGCAGCGACAAAGCUCAAUUUGAAAUCUGAGGCUCUCACGCCCCCGAGUUGUAUUUGGAGAUGGUUGUCUGGUUGCGGGCGCCUGUCUACGUUCCUUGGAACAAGACAAUCGCAGAAGGUUGAGAUCCCGUCGUGCCGGGGCCGCCUUGCUUCGUGUUAAGCGCAUCGACGAGUCGAGGUGGUUGGGAAUGCAGCUCUAGUGGGUUGUAAAUUCCAUCCUAAGGCUAAAUAAUGGCCGAGAGACGAUAGCCGACCAGUACCAGUGAUGGAAAGAUGAAAAGGACUUUGGAAAGAGAGUUGAAAAGGUACGUGAAAUUGGUUGAAAGGGAAUGGUAUUGGAAUCAGGACUUGGGUGCUUGUGCGAAUAGCGGCUCCUCCUGGGGCUGGCCCACUCGCCACUCCACCGGGCCAGCAUCGGUUUUGGGCGGGCAAGACAAAUGGCGGGGGGAACGUGGGCACUGCUCUCCCGGGCAGUGUGUGUUAUAAGCCCCCCGCUGAUAGUUGCCGUGCCUAAAACCGAGGAACUGCGGGCUUCUGCCUAAGAAUGCUGGCGUUAAUGAUCCAACACCGCCCGUCUAUACCGACGGCCCC